GCUAAAUAAGAGCGUAUGGGGAAUGCCUAGGCUCUCAGAGGCGAUGAAGGACGUGAUAAGCUGCGAAAAGCUACGGGGAUUGGCACAUACAAACUGAUCCGUAGAUAUCCGAAUGGGGCAACCCAGCAUGUUGAAGACAUGUUAUCCGCAAGGAGGCAAACCCGGAGAACUGAAACAUCUAAGUACCCGGAGGAGAAGAAAACAAAAGUGAUUCCGAUAGUAGCGGCGAGCGAAAUUGGAUUAGCCCAAACCAGUAUUGUUAAGGCAAUGCUGGGGUUGUAGGACCACGAUAUUCGAUGCAUAAUGAAUUAGAACAGUUUGGAAAGACUGACCAAAGAGGGUGAUAGUCCCGUAUAAGUAAAGAUUGUUAAGAUAGUGGUAUCCUGAGUAGUGCGGGGCACGUGAAACCCUGUGUGAAUCAGUCGGGACCAUCCGAUAAGGCUAAAUACUCCUGAGAGACCGAUAGUGAACUAGUACCGUGAGGGAAAGGUGAAA
rnacentral:rRNA from 1 species